ensembl:snoRNA
CCUUCACCUAGAGACAUUGCAUGUGUGAGUGUUGUGUCACAUGUGCAUCAGUAGGUGGCAGAGAGGAGAGGCUAUGUCUAUGCUCAGUGUUGUGACCAUCUGAAAGCCUAAUACU